UACGGGGGGGGCAAGCGUUGUUCGGAAUUACUGGGCGUAAAGGGCUCGUAGGCGGCCAACUAAGUCGGACGUGAAAUCCCUCGGCUUAACCGGGGAACUGCGUCCGAUACUGGAUGGCUUGAGUUCGGGAGAGGGAUGCGGAAUUCCAGGUGUAGCGGUGAAAUGCGUAGAUAUCUGGAGGAACACCGGUGGCGAAGGCGGCAUCCUGGACCGGUACUGACGCCUGAGGCGCGAAAGCGUGGGUAGCAAACGGG
rnacentral:rRNA from 1 species